ACCCGCGCGCCACGCGUGUGAGCUCCUCCUCUCCUCCUCCACCGGCGACCGCAUAUAAGCCGAUCGGCCGACCAACCUUCUCUCUCUCGCCCUUGUCUCGUUUCGCGGAAGAACCGAGGAACCCCGCCUCGGAUUCGACGGGAACGGAGGUGCCAUCUCCGGCGCCGGCGAGAGAAGUCCUCGACGCUGUCGCAAUCCAAUGAGCCCCAUUUCCAUUCAAUAUGCGUUCUGUAAUCCCCUCUCAAUGCCGUCUUUAACACAACCAAGAACACCUCAUUUGGUGCACCCAAUCUCCAGGAACGCGACCGCGUCAACUCGGAACACCGUAGCGCUCUGGACGCCGCAGCUUCACCUUUGCCUGUCGCCCGGCUUCAACAGUUCGUAACAAGCUGAGCCACUUCGCCACGAGCUUCAUCAACACCUUCAGAUCAAGAAUCCCGAAGUAAUCGACGCGAGGUGGACCACGAUGGGAGAUCCUCUUCUUCUUCCCCAAUUCCGGCCGCCGACGCCAUUCCUUUCUUUCUCCUUCUCUGUACAAGCCCGGGGGUACACCGUAGCAGCCGCGCCGUCGCCGAACCAGUACACCAUCGCCAAGACUUCGCCGAGCCGCGUUCGCUUCUUGACGAUUCGCCGCCGAGUCUCGAGGAGAUCUACUUUGGAGCUGAACAAGGAGUGGAAGAGCAAGGCAAGCCACCUCCCCUCUUUGAUCACAUUGAACCUAUGAUUUGGUGGUUUUUGAAAAGUUUGCAAAAUAUGCAUGUCUAUUGUACACUAAUCCAUUAAAAUCUUGUAAAAUUUGUUAGAUCAACUCCUUUACUUGCAUUAUCACCUAAACUCCACAAAAGACCUUAACCAUUAUUUCAAACCUUAGGAACAAUUGAUUGUGUCACAUUAAGAACGAUGUUUGAAGUCACAAGUCUAUAGAAAUGCUUAGCCAUGCUUAGUGAUGAGUUUACUUACCAUUUGGGCUCAAUUACAUAUAUGAAAUGAUUUAUUUUGUGAUCUGAAUUAAAAUGAUAAAAUGUGAUAUUUGUUAAAUAAAAUGUUGGAAAAUGUGGAUUUUAAGUUUGGGCCUCAUGUGGUACACAUAUGGUGUUUAGUUGUGUGUCGAUAGGGGGAGAAUGUGCCCAGACCGACCUAAGGACUUCACUCAAUGUCAGUUCAUUUUGUAUACAGUACAACCACAUGUGCUAGUAUGGGAUAGCCCAAGCUUAGUAAAUUAUU